UCUGACGGAGCGACGCCGCGUGGAUGAUGAAGGCCGAAAGGUUGUAAAGUCCUUUUGCUGGGGAAGAAUAAGCGUGGGAGGGAAUGCCCGCGUGAUGACAUGAACCGGCGAAUAAGCCCCGGCUAACUACGUGCCAGCAGCCGCGGUAACACGUAGGGGGCGAGCGUUGUUCGGAAUUACUGGGCGUAAAGGGCAUGUAGGCGGCUUUGUAAGCUUGGCGUGAAAGUCCACGGCUUAACCGUGGGAUUGCGUUGAGAACUGCGAGGCUUGAGUGACGGAGAGGGAGCUAGAAUUCCUGGUGUAGGGGUGGAAUCUGUAGAGAUCAGGAAGAAUACCAAUGGCGAAGGCAAGCUCCUGGCCGAUGACUGACGCUGAGGUGCGAAAGUGUGGGGAUCAAACAGGAUUAGAUACCCUGGUAGUCCACACUGUAAACGAUGUACACUAGGUGCUGGGGCGGAUGCUUCAGUGCCGUAGCUAACGUGAUAAGUGUACCGCCUGGGGAGUAUGCUCGCAAGGGUGAAACUCAAAGGAAUUGACGGGGGCCCGCACAAGCGGUGGAGCAUGUGGUUUAAUUCGAUGGUACGCGAGGAACCUUACCUGGGUUUGACA
rnacentral:rRNA from 1 species